AGUGAACGCUGGCGGUAGGCCUAACACAUGCAAGUCGAACGGCAGCACAGUAAGAGCUUGCUCUUACGGGUGGCGAGUGGCGGACGGUUGAGGAAUACAUCGGAAUCUACUUUUUCGUGGGGGAUAACGUAGGGAAACUUACGCUAAUACCGCAUACGACCUACGGGUGAAAGCAGGGGAUCUUCGGACCUUGCGCGAUUGAAUGAGCCGAUGUCGGAUUAGCUAGUUGGCGGGGUAAAGGCCCACCAAGGCGACGAUCCGUAGCUGGUCUGAGAGGAUGAUCAGCCACACUGGAACUGAGACACGGUACAGACUCCUACGGGAGGCAGCAGCGGGGAAUAUUGGACAAUGGGGGCAUGCCUGAUCCAGCCAUACCGCGUGGGUGAAGAAGGCCUUCGGGUUGUAAAGCCCUUUUGUUGGGAAAGAAAAGCAGCAGGUUAAUACCCCGCUGUUCUGACGGUACCCAAAGAAUAAGCACCGGCUAACUUCGUG
rnacentral:rRNA from 1 species